rnacentral:rRNA from 1 species
GUGGGGAAUCUUGCGCAAUGGGCGAAAGCCUGACGCAGCCAUGCCGCGUGAAUGAUGAAGGUCUUAGGAUUGUAAAAUUCUUUCACCGGGGACGAUAAUGACGGUACCCGGAGAAGAAGCUCCGGCUAACUUCGUGCCAGCAGCCGCGGUAAUACGAAGGGGGCUAGCGUUGCUCGGAAUUACUGGGCGUAAAGGGCGCGUAGGCGGACAGCUUAGUCAGAGGUGAAAGCCCAGGGCUCAACCUUGGAAUUGCCUUUGAUACUGGCUGUCUUGAGUACGGGAGAGGUGAGUGGAACUCCGAGUGUAGAGGUGAAAUUCGUAGAUAUUCGGAAGAACACCAGUGGCGAAGGCGACUCACUGGCCCGUUACUGACGCUGAGGCGCGAAAGCGUGGGGAGCAAACAGGAUUAGAAACCCCAGUAGCC